CCUGGUUGAUCCUGCCAGUAGUCAUAUGCUUGUCUCAAAGAUUAAGCCAUGCAUGUGUAAGCACACACUGUUUUAAAAGUGAAGCCGCGAAUGGCUCAUUACAACAGCCACAGUUUAUUAGAACUUACAUACAUGGAUAACUGUGGUAAUUCUAGAGCUAAUACACGCACAAAAACUUCAACUAUACAAUGGUUGAAGUGCUUUUAUUAGAACAAAAACCGAACGGCGUUCGACUUGUGUUGAACGUCGAAACUCUUUGGUGAAUCUGAAUAACUAUUUCUGAUCGCAUGGUCUAGCACCGGCGACAUCACUUUCAAGUGUCUGCCUUAUCAACCUUCGAUGGUAGUCUAUGCGACUACCAUGGUGAUAACGGGUAACGGAGAAUCAGGGUUCGACUCCGGAGAGGGAGCCUGAGAAACGGCUACCACAUCCAAGGAAGGCAGCAGGCGCGCAAAUUACCCACUCCCAGCUUGGGGAGGUAGUGACGAAAAAUAACGAGACGAUUCUCGUUUGAGAAACGUUAUCGAAAUGAGUACGCUUUACACACGCUAACGAGUAGCAAUUGGAGGGCAAGUCUGGUGCCAGCAGCCGCGGUAAUUCCAGCUCCAAUAGCGUAUAUUAAAGUUGCUGCGGUUAAAACGCUCGUAGUUGAAUUGUGGUCUUAGACAACAGUCCCCCUAUAUAGGUGUGGCACGGUUGCUCGAGAUCUUCAUUCGUGGUUGCUGUUGUUGCUCUUCAUUGAGUGUCAAUGGUGCCUCGAGAUUUUACUUUGAAAAAAUUAGAGUGCUCAAAGCAGGUUGUGAUGCCUGAAUAAUGGUGCAUGGAAUAAUAGAAUACGAUCUCGGUUCUAUUUUGUUGGUUUUCGAACCGGAGAUAAUGAUUGAAAGGAACAGACGGGGGCAUUCGUAUUGCUGCGUUAGAGGUGAAAUUCUUGGAUCGCAGCAAGAUGAACAAUUGCGAAAGCAUUUGCCAAGAAUGUUUUCAUUAAUCAAGAACGAAAGUUAGAGGUUCGAAGGCGAUCAGAUACCGCCCUAGUUCUAACGGUAAACUAUGCCAACCAGCGAUUCGCCGAAGUUCAUUUAAGACUCGGCGAGCAGCUUCCGGGAAACCAAAGUGUUUCGGUUCCGGGGGAAGUAUGGUUGCAAAGCUGAAACUUAAAGGAAUUGACGGAAGGGCACCACCAGGAGUGGAGCCUGCGGCUUAAUUUGACCCAACACGGGAAAACUCACCCGGCCCGGACACUGAAAGGAUUGACAGAUUGACAGCUCUUUCUUGAUUCAGUGGGUAGUGGUGCAUGGCCGUUCUUAGUUGGUGGAGUGAUUUGUCUGCUUAAUUGCGAUAACGAACGAGACCUUAACCUACUAAAUAGUGCUGCUAGCUUUUGCUGGUAUAGUCACUUCUUAGAGGGACUAUCGAUUUCAAGUCGAUGGAAGUUUGAGGCAAUAACAGGUCUGUGAUGCCCUUCGAUGUCCGGGGCUGCACGCGCGCUACAAUGAAAGCGUCAACGUGAGUUACGUCCUUACCUGAAAAGGUUUGGCAAUCGAUUGAAACGUUUUCUUGAAUGGAAUAGGGAAUUGCAAUUGUUUCCCUUGAACGAGGAAUUCCCAGUAAGCGUGAGUCAUUAGCUCGCGUUGAUUACGUCCCUGCCCUUUGUACACACCGCCCGUCGCUACUACCGAUUGGAUGAUUUAGUGAGGUGUUUUGACUAGCGCCUGUAGUCGGAUGUAUAUUCGGCUUCGCGCCGGGAAAUUUCCCAAACCAAAUCAUCUAGAGGAAGUAAAAGUCGUAACAAGGUUUCCGUAGGUGAACCUGCGGAAG
rnacentral:rRNA from 1 species